rnacentral:rRNA from 1 species
GGUUCGAUCCUGCUCAGAUUGAACGCUGGCGGGAUGCUUUACACAUGCAAGUCGAACGGCAGCACGGACUUCCGGUCUGGGUGGCGAGUGGCGAACGGGUGAGUAAUGUAUCGGAACGUGCCUAGUAGCGGGGAUAACUACGCGAAAGCGCAGCUUAAUACCGCAUACGCCUUCGGGGGAAAGCGGGGGACCUUCGGCCUCGUAAUUAGAGCGGCCGAUAUCGGAUUAGCUAGUUGGUGGGGUAACGGCUCACCAAGGCGACGAUCCGUAGCUGGUUUGAGAGGACGACCAGCCACACUGGGACUGAGACACGGCCCAGACUCCUACGGGAGGCAGCAGGGAAUUUUGACAAUGGGAAACCCUGAUCCAGCCAUCCCGCGUGUGCGAUGAAGGCCUUCGGGUUGUAAAGCACUUUUGGCAGGAAAAGAAAACGGCACGGGAUAACAAUUCCCCGUGCAACUGACGGUACCUGCAGAAUAAGCACCGGCUAACUGUACGUGCCAGCAGCCGCGGUAAUACGUAGGGGCGCAAGCGUUAAUCGGAAUUACUGGGCGUAAAAGCGUGCGCAGGCGGUUCGGAAAGAAAGAUGUGAAAUCCCAGAGCUUAACUUUGGAACUGCAUUUUUAACCAAUGAGCUAGAGGUGUCAGAGGGAGGUGGAAUUCCGCGUGGUGCAGUGAAAUGGGUGUAGAUAUGCGGAGGAACACCGAUGGCGAAGGCAGCCUCCUCGAUAACACUGACGCUCAUGCACGAAAGCGUGGGGAGCAAACAGGAUUAGAUACCCUGGUAGUCCACGCCCUAAACGAUGUCAACUAGCUGUUGGGGCCUUCGGGCCUGGUAGCGCAGCGCUAACGGGCGUGAAGUUGACCGCCCGGGGAGUACGGUCGCAAGAUUAAAACUCAAAGGAAUUGACGGGGACCCGCACAAGCGGUGGAUGAUGUGGAUUAAUUCGAUGCAACGCGAAAAACCUUACCUACCCUUGACAUGUCUGGAAUCCCGAAGAGAUUUGGGAGUGCUCGCAAGAGAACCGGAACACAGGUGUUGCAUGGCUGUCGUCACUCGUGUCGUGAGAUGUUGGGUUAAGUCCCGCAACGAGCGCAACCCUUGUCAUUAGUUGCUACUUAGGCACUUCCACGAGACUGCCGGUGACAAACCGGAGGAAGGUGGGGAUGACGUCAAGUCCUCAUGGCCCUUAUGGUAGGGCUUCACACGUCAUGGCCAAAUGGCGUCGGGACAGAGGGUCGCCAACCCGCGAGGGGGAGCCAAUCCCAGGAAACCCGAUCGUAGUCCGAUCGCAGUCUGCAACCUCGACUGCAGGAAGUCGGAAUCGCUAGUAAUCGCGGAUCAGCAUGUCGCGGUGAAUACGUUCCCGGGUCUUGUACACACCGCCCGUCACACCAUGGGAGUGGGUUUUACCAGAAGUAGUUAGCCCCAACCGUAAGGAGGGCGAUUACCACGGUAGAUUCAUGACUGUGGUGAAGUCGUAACAAGGUAA